UACGUAGGGUGCGAGCGUUGUCCGGAAUUAUUGGGCGUAAAGAGCUCGUAGGCGGCUUGUCGCGUCGACUGUGAAAACUCGGGGCUCAACUCCGAGCUUGCAGUCGAUACGGGCAGGCUAGAGUUCGGUAGGGGAGACUGGAAUUCCUGGUGUAGCGGUGAAAUGCGCAGAUAUCAGGAGGAACACCGGUGGCGAAGGCGGGUCUCUGGGCAUUAACUGACGCUGAGGAGCGAAAGCAUGGGGAGCGAACAGG
rnacentral:rRNA from 1 species